GAUGAACGCUGGCGGCGUGCCUAAUACAUGCAAGUCGAGCGAAGCGGGGACGGGUGAGUAACACGUGGAUAACCUCCUAUAAGACUGGGAUAACUUUUGGAAACCGGAGCUAAACCGGAUACUUAUAGUUGGCCUCGCGCGGCAUUAGCUAGUUGGUAAGGUAACGGCGUACCAAGGCAACGAUGCAUAGCCGACCUGAGAGGGUGAUCGGCAACACUGGAACUGGGACACGGUCCAGCCUCCUACGGGAGGCAGCAGUAGGGAAUGUUCCGCAAUGGGGGAAAGCCUGACGGAGCAAGGCGGCGUGAGGGAUGAAGGUCUUCGGAUCGUAAACCUCUGUUAUUAGGGAAGCGGUACCUAAUCAGAAAGCCACGGCUAACUACGUGCCAGCAGCCGCGGUAAUUC
rnacentral:rRNA from 1 species